GACGAACGCUGGCGGCGUGCUUAACACAUGCAAGUCGAACGGAAAGGCCCUGCUUUUGUGGGGUGCUCGAGUGGCGAACGGGGGAGUAUCACGUGUGUAACCUGCCCUUGACUUUGGGAUAACUUCAGGAAACUGGGGUUAAUACAGGACAGGAGCCCCUGCUGCAUGGUGGGGGUUGGAAAGUUUCGGCGGUUGGGGAUGGACGCGCGGCUUAUCAGCUUGUUGGUGGGGUAGUGGCUUACCAAGGCUUUGACGGGUAGCCGGCCUGGGAGGGUGACCGGGCACAAUGGGCCUGCGGGAGGGCCCAGAGGGCAACGUGGGACAGCGGUGGGAAGCAUGGCACAAUGGGCGGAAGCCGGAUGCAACAACGCCGCGUGCGGAAAGACGGCCUUUGGGUAAUAAACCGCUUCAGCCUGUGACGAAGCGUGAGUGACGGUAAUGAAUGAAGAAGCACCGGCUAACUACGUG
rnacentral:rRNA from 1 species